CCCUUAGAUGUUCUGGGCCGUACGCGCGCUACACUGACGAAUGCAACGAGCUUAUAACCUUGGCCGAAAGGUCUGGGUAAUCUCCAAAUUUCGUCGUGAUGGGGAUAGAUUAUUGCAAUUAUUAAUCUUCAACGAGGAAUGCCUAGUAAGCGCAAGUCAUCAGCUUGCGUUGAUUACGUCCCUGCCCUUUGUACACACCGCCCGUCGCUCCUACCGAUUGAAUGGUCCGGUGAAGCGUUCGGACCGUGGCCUUUGGACGGUUCGCCGUCUGUUGGCUGCGGGAAGUUCGUUAAACCUUAUCAUUUAGAGGAAGGAGAAGUCGUAACA
rnacentral:rRNA from 1 species